rnacentral:rRNA from 1 species
AUUGAACGCUGGCGGCAGGCCUAACACAUGCAAGUCGAGCGGGGUUUUCGGACCUAGCGGCGGACGGUGAGUAAUGCGUAGGAAGCUACCCGAUAGAGGGGGAUACCAGUUGGAAACGACUGUUAAUACCGCAUAAUGUCUACGGACCAAAGUGUGGGACCUUCGGGCCACAUGCUAUCGGAUGCGCCUACGUGGGAUUAGCUAGUUGGUGAGGUAAUGGCUCACCAAGGCGACGAUCCCUAGCUGGUUUGAGAUGAUGAUCAGCCACACUGGAACUGAGACACGGUCCAGACUCCUACGGGAGGCAGCAGUGGGGAAUAUUGGACAAUGGGCGCAAGCCUGAUUCAGCCAUGCCGCGUGUGUGAAGAAGGCCUUCGGGUUGUAAAGCACUUUCAGUAGGGAGGAAGCGUUGUGUGUUAAUAGUACACAGCGUUGACGUUACCUACAGAAGAAGCACCGGCUAACUCUGUGCCAGCAGCCGCGGUAACAC